rnacentral:rRNA from 1 species
AUGGCCAGUGCUCCCAGUUCUUCCCCCCGUCCCCACGGUCCUCAAAAAGGCGAUUGGGAGAGCUGUUCGGUAUCCCAUACUCAACUGACCAAGCUUCAGGUGCAAGGAUACCUCCCUCCCGCGGAUCUAGUCCCCGUUCGGGCGGGAUUAACUUAUUUCAAUGGCGAAGCCUUGGCGGAAAAUUUCCCCAACCCUUCAAAGGGGGAGCGAGUGUGCUUCGUUUCCUUUCUCUCACGAGGCGUUGGAUUUCCAAUCUACCCCUUCCUCCGAGGUCUCUUGGAGUACUACGGAGUCCAGCUGCACAAUCUCACGCCGGGCUCCAUACUGCAUAUCUCGGGCUUCGUGGCUCUUUGUGAGUUGUUCCUAGGCUGCGAGGCCCAUUUUGAUUUAUGGAGGAAGCUUUUCUGCCUCGUCCCUCGCUCCCAAAAGGGGUCCAUAUUCGAGGUGGGCGGCGCCGAAGUAUGGCGCAUAGCCGGGACAGGAUACCUGUUUGGCUCUCCGAAGAAGGCAUUAGAAGAGUGGCCCUUGGAGUGGUUUUAUAUUGAAGAUGUCGUUCUCCCAUACCCCAUCCGACAAGGCCUACCUGCAUUUUCCAAUGCUCUGUUAAAGAAGCGCCACAACUGGCGCCCUGAAGCCUCGAGGAGGAAGAUAGCGCGGAGGUUAAGAAGCUACUGGACAAGAUAA